rnacentral:tmRNA from 1 species
GGGGAUGACAGGCUUCGCUAGGUGGAGCUUGUUACUGUAAUUAGGCAUGUCGGCCGCACCGCCGUUAGAGGUGCACAAGUAAUAAGUGCCAACUUAUUCAACCAGGUGAAGACAGCUGUUGCUCGCGCAUUCAGCCCUUCAUUUGCUCCUGCUCUCGCUUAAUCGCCUGUAGCCAUCACUCUUCUGAAUCCUAAUAAGAAAUCAGUGGUGCCAACCCAUUGGGAUAUACCAGCUUCUCCAAUCAGAAGUGAGCUGGAAGAACUUGGCUCUGAUUUAGGAUGCUGAUAUUUUGUCGCUUUUUCACCAGUGUCCGAAACAACAAAGCUGGCUACACAUGUAGAUUAAUUCUGUAACCCAUCUAUACCCGAGUUCAAUUCUCGGCAUCUCCACCA